GACUCCAUAGCUCAACGGAUAGAGCGUGAGCCUCCGAAGCUUAAGAUGCAGGUUCGAUUCCUGCUGGGGUCA
rnacentral:tRNA from 1 species